UACGGAGGAUGCGAGCGUUAUCCGGAUUUAUUGGGUUUAAAGGGAGCGUAGGUGGGAUAUUAAGUCAGCUGUGAAAGUUUGGGGCUCAACCUUAAAAUUGCAGUUGAUACUGGUUUCCUUGAGUACGGUACAGGUGGGCGGAAUUCGUGGUGUAGCGGGGAAAUGCUUAGAUAUCACGAAGAACUCCGAUCGCGAAGGCAGCUCACCGGGCCGGAACUGACACUGAUGCUCGAAAGUGCGGGUAUCAAACAGGAUUAGAUACCCUGGUAGUCCGCACAGUAAACGAUGAAUACUCGCUGUUUGCGAUACACGGUAAGCGGCCAAGCGAAAGCGUUAAGUACUCCACCUGGGGAGUACGCCGGCAACGGUGAAACUCAAAUGAAUUGACGGGG
rnacentral:rRNA from 1 species